rnacentral:rRNA from 1 species
GUAGCAUACAAGGCAUACGGCUCAGUAACGCGUAGUCAACCUAACCUAUGGACGGGAAUAACCUCGGGAAACUGAGAAUAAUGCCCGAUAGAACACUAUACCUGGAAUGGUUUGUGUUCCAAAUGAUUUAUCGCCAUAGGAUGGGACUGCGGCCUAUCAGUUUGUUGGUGAGGUAAUGGCCCACCAAGACUAUUACAGGUACGGGCUCUGAGAGGAGUAGCCCGGAGAUGGGUACUGAGACACGGACCCAGGCCCUAUGGGGCGCAGCAGGCGAGAAAACUUUGCAAUGUGCGAAAGCACGACAAGGUUAAUCCGAGUGAUUUGUGCUAAACGAAUCUUUUGUUAGUCCUAGAAACACUAACGAAUAAGGGGUGGGCAAGUUCUGGUGUCAGCCGCCGCGGUAAAACCAGCACCUCAAGUGGUCAGGAUGAUUAUUGGGCCUAAAGCAUCCGUAGCCGGCUCUGUAAGUUUUCGGUUAAAUCUGUACGCUUAACGUACAGGCUGCCGGGAAUACUGCAGAGCUAGGGAGUGGGAGAGGUAGACGGUACUCGGUAGGAAGUGGUAAAAUGCUUUGAUCUAUCGAUGACCACCUGUGGCGAAGGCGGUCUACCAGAACACGUCCGACGGUGAGGGAUGAAAGCUGGGGGAGCAAACCGGAUUAGAUACCCUGGGUAGUUCCAGCCUGUAACCUAUGCAACUCAGUGAUGCAUUGGCUGUGUCGACUGCAGUGCUGCAAGGUCAG